UUUUUUUUUUUUUUUUUUAAUUCCUUUUGACUACUCCUAGGCCAGUCUCCUAUUAUGUUAUUGCCCUAGCUUUUAAUAAAUUCUAAUGAAAGAUAUGAAUAGUCAUUUGUCAGAAUUUUCUUGAUUGGUUCCACCUAUCUUUCUUCUUAUGAAAUUCAGAAUUAUCUCCUAAAUCAGACACAAAUAAGUGUUUGGUCUUUUUAUUGGGUUUAUAUUGGAUUUAUAGGUUAAUUUAGAAAGAUAUAUCUUACAAUUUUGAGUCUGCCUAUGCAAGAAUAAGAUACCACAUGUAAGUCUUUGUUCACCCAUCAUUUUCCUCUCGUCCCAAGUCCUGAGAAUUUUACAGUAAGCUUAUUCUAUAUUUUAUAUUUUCUUAUUUCUACUGAAUAGGGUCCUUUUGCCAUUAUCUAUUUUAUAUUAGUCAUACUCAGAAAAAAACAUAGUUUUGUAUGACAAUACUGUAGUUAAUUACCUAUUGAGUUAUCUUUUUAGCUUAUUGUUGCUAGAAUGGUGUUGAAACAACACAUUAUCCAUUUUGAAAAAAAAAACAAAAACACCUCAUAUUAUUCACCAGAACAAAUUAAGUCAAAUGAGUCAAAAUUAAAAACUUAAUUAGGAGUGUAUUCUUUUCUCUUUAUUUAAAAUGAAGCUACUUAAGUUCAGCAAAGUUAAGGAACUUGCCUAAAAUCACACAGAUAGUAAAUGGCAGAGCCAAGAUGUCUGUGUGACACUAAUGUUUUAAACAAUUGUAUCUAUUUUUCUAUUUUAAAAGUCUCAUCUCUAUUCCUGGGAUUAAUCUCCAUCUUGUCUACCACUACUAGACACUAGCUCCUGAAAAAAGCCAAUGCUGAUUACCUGCUCACCUGCCUGGAACUCUGAACAAAGCUUCUGUCCCAGUUCCCAAUUGUCUACUGUCCUCUACUUUCCUCUCUCUCCUGAGGUUCAUUGUGUUUUGCUUGGCAUGAUUACUAGAUUUUCAUAUUGCAAAAAUAACAGAGAAUAGGUCAUUUACAUGCAAAGUUGGAUAAGAAAACGCAAACUUUCUUACCUCCAUUAUUUUGAAUUUUGUUACAAAAGCACCUUUGACUGGUAGAUAAGCUAUCCGUGAACUUGCAGAAUGAUGAAUGGCUGGUGACCUUCUCAAGGAUUAGAAGAUCUUCUAAGAGUACAUUAAUUUCUAAACAGGUGAGAGAUUUAAUUCCUUUGGAUCACAUUACAUAGGAUUCCAAGCUAUUCUACCCCAUACUUCCAUAUUCUGGCUAUAGAAUUACAUUGAAAUUACAUGUGGCCAGCAUGAGGUUCAGGCAGAUAAGGUGAUAUAAUGCAGGGGCUGCCUGUGUGGUGAGAUCUGACAGGUUGCCAAGCAGGAUAAAUUGCCUCAAAGAUAUCAAACUUUAAAGCUUAAUUAUUUUCCCAUUAAGACUUCUUUUACAAUGCAAAUAUUAAUGCAAACAGUUAUACCUUUUAUCAGCUAAUGUCUUAAUCUUCAAUGAACACCUACGGGACUUGUCAGCCUGCUGGUAAUCAGGAGAGGUAGUUGCUGAAAGAGGUUCUGGGGAAUGGGUAGGAUUGGAUUGGAAGAAGAAGACACUCUUAGAGGAAGGGGGUUUGUGCACAGCUCAGAUAUACUGAAUCUGCUCUGGCUUGGUUUGUCUAAAUGUUGGAGGUAACACUGAGACAGAAAAUCAUUCUCAGGAAUAUCUAAGUCUUGGUGUGAAAGAGUUGCAAAUAGGGAUAAAAAGGUCACGGCUUAUGGCACUUAUAAAUGAGCCAGUCUUGGAAUAGGUAUAAAACACACCAGAAGUCUUUGGGUUCAUUUGAGGUCAUGCUAGGUGAUCUUUUAAACUUGCUGAUCCAUAUCUUGAUGAGAGCAAUCAUAUCCAGGUUUUCAGAAGAUAAUUGGGUAAAUUCUGAGCAGGAGGUCUUGGAAUGUCUUCAAAAAAUCACUAGGCUCUCAAAUCUCCUCAGCCCCCUUCUGCCUUGGAUACUAUUCUAAAAUAUUGCUGGUUUCCAGAAGGCUAAAGCUGAUUACAUCAAUAUCUCUACAUUUACUGAUGUGGAGUAAUACCUUGCAAUUUCAAAGUGAAAAAAAGUUACACACCUCAAAACACCACCUAUCUACAGAUGGUUUCACCUGAAGGGACACUUAGCAGUGGCUCUUGGGCGACACUGUCUGACCUGCAGUGUUCAGGGGCAAAGUUGACCACAGGAAGAUGUGAAGGCAGAAAAGGAUGAGGAGGAAGUCGUGCCCCAAAUAAGAAGGUAAUGGAAGGGGGGCAUGGGGGGGGUCACAGGAAGAAAUGCAGUAAAUCAGAUCUCGGGGAAGUAUAAGAGCAGGGAGAAAAUGCUAUCAGAAUUACAACAGCCUAGGAGUUCCCUGGUAGCUCAAUGGGUUAAGGAUCCUGCUUUAUCACUGCUGUGGCAUAAAUUUGAUUCCUGGCCCAGGAAAUAGCUUCCACAUGCCCUGGGCAUGUGGGAAAAAAAAAUUACAAUAGCCUAGCACAGACUCACAGAUAACUACAAAAUCAGCCUGUUGGCUGUCAGGACAGAGAGGUUCGUUUUAGUUGGUUGAACCUAAGCCUAUUCACAAAAAGACUUGAUCUGGAUAUGACAUAAAAUAACCAUGCUAAUAAGUGGUUACCUGUUAUUCUACAUAUCGGAAAGUAAGUGAACAGAAUGAGCCUAUGAUUGCAAAAGUAGCUGGGUAUAGGCAAGUUUCGGGGUCACAAAAGUUUGGAGUGGUCAUGCCUGACAACACAGUGAUAACCUUUAGUCUUCUUUAAAGGACUAGAGUUUUUUGUUUGUUUGUUUGUUUGUUUUUGUCUUUCUGCCAUUUCUUGGGCCGCUCCCGUGGCAUAUGGAGGUUCCCAGGCUAGGCGUCUAAUCAGAGCUGUAGCUGCUGGCCUACGUCAGAGCCACAGCAACACGGGAACAACCUACAUCACAGCUCAUGGCAACGUCGGAUCCUCAACCCACUGAGCAAGGCCAGGGAUCAAACCCACAACCUCAUGGUUCCUAGUCGGAUUCGUUAACCACUGAGCCAUGACAGGAACUCCUCAAACAGCUUUUAAAGAUCAGUGUCCCUCCCUGGUCUUGACACAGUUCCAGUGGUCUAAGGGCAGAUGAUCAAGGCACAUCAGGGAUAAUGAAAAAGUUUUGUCCCUAUGUUCAAUGCUUAUCUAAUGAACUGUUUACCUACAGAACUGUUGAGUGACAUCAUGGGUGAGAGCUGUUAGUGGUUGCCAUGGGAAAAGGAGGUGCUGAUUGCAUAUGAACUGCAUGUGUGAGUUAUACCUUGGUUAGAGCAUGGCUAGGUUGGAUCCACGCUAAACAAAAGAACAAAAUUCCCAAAUAGUCAGAUGUCUGACCUCCCCCUCCCCGAGUCCAAGCAAUGGCUAUUGAGAAACUACCCCUCUUUACAUCAAGGAGUCAGAGUUGGAAUAUCUUAAAGCAACUUAAAAAUGAAAGGUAUUUGAAAGAAAAUAGGAGGGAGUGUAAAAAAUAUAUUCCGGGACAGCUGGAGAAAACUAAGUGACAAAAUUUUGGUUAGCAGGAAUGUGGAAUUACUCCCUAACCUGGCAAGAAUAUAUUUUUUACUAAAGAGUUGAAAAUUUAAAACCCGAGGCACACAUAUUUAAAAGAAAGUUUAACUGAAAGUUUAAAAGUGAUUUCACUAAAUGUAAUCAUAUAGAUUUAAUUUCCUCUCUGGAAAAGAUACUAGUAACUUUUCCAAAUUAUAGUUCAGGACAUAGGUUCUUAAAAGUAGCAGAGCACUGGGUAAUUGUAGCACUCUCUGUCUAGCAAUAUAUCAAAUACAAGAAGCUAAACAUUUGAUUACAUGAUUUUGUGUGUACCAUACAUUGGAUUGUUAGAUUUUAAUUCAGAAAGAAAUAGUGUAGACAUCGAAAAAUUUUGAGAAUGUUUUAUGGGACAACCUUCAAUCAAUAAAAUUCUAUUUUAUUCAGUAAUAUUCCUUCUAUGAUCAGUAAAAGAGUGCCAGUAUUCCAUUUGGGCAGCAGAACCACUAUGCUCAGUUUCUGGAACACUGGUGUUCCUUAGUACAUAGUUUGGAAACUAUUUUUUUGGCUUUUUUGCCUUUUAGGGCUGUGCCCGCGGCUAUGGAGAUUCCCAGGCUAGAGGUUCAAUUGGAGCUACAGCUGCUGGCCUACACCACAGCCCCAGCCACGCAGGAUCUGAGCUCCAUCUGCGACCUUACAACACAGCUCAUAGCAACACCGGAUCCUUAACCCACUGAGCGAGGCCAGGGUUCAAACCUGCAACCUUAUCGUUCUUAGAUUUGUUUCCGCUGAGCCACGAUGGGAACUGCAGUUUGGAAACUAUUAAAUAGCUCUCAAAGGACAAAUCAAUGCAAUUAUGCUCAAGAGAUAAAUCAAAAUCAAGUAAUGUAAAGGGAUGGUAGGUAAACUGCCAAUCAUCCAAACUUUGAUAGCCAUUAAGUGAAAAGCCAAAUAUGACUGGGAGAAUGACAGGUUGGGUUCUUCAUAGGGGUGGAACUCUAUUUCAUGAGAGAGAGAGAGAGUCUACAAAUACAGGAAGGGUGGCUCCCCUUUGCAGCGAGUACCAGCUCUUCAGAAUAAAAAGUACAUUAGAGAGUUUAAUUUGACAACUAUUAUACAUUCAGCAUCGUCCUGGGAAAAUACAACAAAGCAUAAGAAGACAAUACAAAAAAUGUAAAGAGGAUGUAACUAUUUAGAAAACCAUUACAUUAAUAACAAUUAAUUAAUAAUAACUUAAAUUUGCUUCUACUGUCAAUAUUCAUUACCUUUGGAUGUUCUAGUUUCUUACUUUCGAAUAUAAUGACCAGUGCCCAGAGACAGUAGACACCUAUUGAAAGUUAAUUACUUUUUUAGUCUCAUUUUCUUUCUGUCACAACCAUUUCUAAGAAUAUUUACCUCUUAGACUCUGAAUAACCUGUCUUAUAUCUGCUGAACCACAUAAAACUAAAGACUGGAGAUUUAACACAGAUGUCUUUACUGAACAAAAAUCUUUUGGUGCUCUCAAGCUUUUUGAAAUGGACUGUAUUCUGUCUAUGGAAUGUGUAUCUCUAAUUAAAUCCACUUCUUACCUAUCAAAAAUGUUUUAUUUUUGGCAUAAAUCUAGAUAUCUAUCAAUAUCUAUACCCUAUUAUUUUAUCGAUAAGCAAAAAUAUUUAAAAAAAUACUUCUUGAGAUUGUUUUUUCCCCCAAGUCUGUUUUAAGUUGGAUCUAGUAGAGGUGCAGAGAGAGCAAACUGGCCAAUGGGCCAAAUUUUACCUGGUGCUUGUUUUUAUACAGCCCAUAACUAAGAAUGAUUUUCUGUUUUAAAAUAGUUUAAAAAGUUAAGCAAAAACAAUAUUUCGUAGCGCAUGAAAAGUGUAUGAAAUUCAAAUUCUAGUGUUCGUAAAUAAAUUUUAUUAGGAUUUAGCCAUGCCCACAUAUUUGCUGGCUGUCUACAACUAACAACAUCAACAGCAGAGUUUAGUUACAACAAAGACCAUAUGGCCUACAAAGCUUAAAAUAUUUACUACCUGGUCCUUUACGGAAAAAAUUUGGCAACCUCUGGUAUUAAGGAAGAAACUGUAACAUGCAAGUCUGAAGAACUGCAUUUUUCCUUGGCUCUUGUGUUUCCCCC
rnacentral:lncRNA from 1 species